GAACUACCCGUGCCAGCAGCCGCGGUAAUACGGAGGGUGCGAGCGUUAAUCGGAAUUACUGGGCGUAAAGCGCAUGCAGGUGGUUGUUAAGUCAGAUGUGAAAGCCCGGGGCUCAACCUCGGAAUUGCAUUUGAAACUGGCAAACUAGAGUACUGUAGAGGGGGUAGAAUUUCAGGUGUAGCGGUGAAAUGCGUAGAGAUCUGAAGGAAUACCGGUGGCGAAGGCGGCCCCCUGGACAGAUACUGACACUCAGAUGCGAAAGCGUGGGGAGCAAACAGGAUUAGAUACCCUGGUAG
rnacentral:rRNA from 1 species